AAGACUAUAGACCUGCGGAGUACCUGCGGAGGGAUCAUUAACGUAUCUAUGAUGGGGUGCGGAGCGCCCUGCUCCGGUCGAACGGCCGUGCAGCGGGUGCGCCGCCCCCGUCCUACCUCACAAACCCACUGUGAACAUUCACCGGUGGAGGGGGCUCGGUCUGCGCCGUGUCCCCGAUGCCGAAUACCCAAACUCCAGUUGCAAAGAACGUCGUGCGGACUCGGUGCCGCCUAAAACAUG
rnacentral:misc_RNA from 1 species